UACGUAGGGGGCAAGCGUUGUCCGGAUUUAUUGGGCGUAAAGAGCGUGUAGGCGGCCACACAGGUCAGCUGUGAAAACUCGAGGCUCAACCUCGAGACGUCGGUUGAAACCGUAUGGCUAGAGUCCGGAAGAGGAGAGUGGAAUUCCCGGUGUAGCGGUGAAAUGCGCAGAUAUCGGGAAGAACACCCGUGGCGAAGGCGGCUCUCUGGGACGGUACUGACGCUGAGACGCGAAAGCGUAGGGAGCGAACAGG
rnacentral:rRNA from 1 species